UGACUUUGGAAUUUUUGUUAUCAAAUACAUGAGAUGCUACAAUGGAGUUGAAGUAAAACAAUUCUCAAAUGUUGACUUGCAAGCAAUCCGUGAAAAAGUCUCAUGCCAGCUAGUGAUAAACAAAUUUAAUGAGCAACAUGUGCCAAUAGCACGAGAAUUCAUUUCGAAGCAUGUUCCACAUGUUCUCCAUUGAUUAAGUUACCAUUUAUUCAAGGAGACAGAUGAUGCAUUAAAAAUAGAUUUCAGGAUCAAGGAAGAAGAGAAACAUAUGAUUGACAAAUGAGAUCUUAUACUGUGUUGAACAAAGUCUUUUGUCGAGUUCCUUUUCAGUGGGAUUAUCUUUUUCAACUGAAUUGUGGGUGACCUACAUAAGUAUGUACCAUAUGUUUUAGCCGGAAGGAACUCUUUCUCCUGGCAUUUGACCUUA